UGGCUCAGGAUGAACGCUAGCUACAGGCUUAACACAUGCAAGUCGAGGGGAAACGACAUCGAAAGCUUGCUUUUGAUGGGCGUCGACCGGCGCACGGGUGAGUAACGCGUAUCCAACCUGCCCACCACUUGGGGAUAACCUUGCGAAAGUAAGACUAAUACCCAAUGAUAUCUCUAGAAGACAUCUGAAAGAGAUUAAAGAUUUAUCGGUGAUGGAUGGGGAUGCGUCUGAUUAGCUUGUUGGCGGGGUAACGGCCCACCAAGGCUACGAUCAGUAGGGGUUCUGAGAGGAAGGUCCCCCACAUUGGAACUGAGACACGGUCCAAACUCCUACGGGAGGCAGCAGUGAGGAAUAUUGGUCAAUGGACGAGAGUCUGAACCAGCCAAGUAGCGUGCAGGAUGACGGCCCUAUGGGUUGUAAACUGCUUUUAUAAGGGAAUAAAGUGAGUCUCGUGAGGCUUUUUGCAUGUACCUUAUGAAUAAGGACCGGCUAAUUCCGUGCCAGCAGCCGCGGUAAUACGGAAGGUCCGGGCGUUAUCCGGAUUUAUUG
rnacentral:rRNA from 1 species